rnacentral:rRNA from 1 species
AGGGUUCGAUUCUGGCUCAGGAUGAACGCUGGCGGCGUGCUUAACACAUGCAAGUCGAACGGGAUCCAUCAGGCUUUGCUUGGUGGUGAGAGUGGCGAACGGGUGAGUAAUGCGUGACCGACCUGCCCCAUACACCGGAAUAGCUCCUGGAAACGGGUGGUAAUGCCGGAUGCUCCAGUUGAUCGCAUGGUCUUCUGGGAAAGCUUUCGCGGUAUGGGAUGGGGUCGCGUCCUAUCAGCUUGACGGCGGGGUAACGGCCCACCGUGGCUUCGACGGGUAGCCGGCCUGAGAGGGCGACCGGCCACAUUGGGACUGAGAUACGGCCCAGACUCCUACGGGAGGCAGCAGUGGGGAAUAUUGCACAAUGGGCGCAAGCCUGAUGCAGCGACGCCGCGUGAGGGAUGGAGGCCUUCGGGUUGUAAACCUCUUUUAUCGGGGAGCAAGCGUGAGUGAGUUUACCCGUUGAAUAAGCACCGGCUAACUACGUGCCAGCAGCCGCGGUAAUACGUAGGGUGCAAGCGUUAUCCGGAAUUAUUGGGCGUAAAGGGCUCGUAGGCGGUUCGUCGCGUCCGGUGUGAAAGUCCAUCGCUUAACGGUGGAUCCGCGCCGGGUACGGGCGGGCUUGAGUGCGGUAGGGGAGACUGGAAUUCCCGGUGUAACGGUGGAAUGUGUAGAUAUCGGGAAGAACACCAAUGGCGAAGGCAGGUCUCUGGGCCGUUACUGACGCUGAGGAGCGAAAGCGUGGGGAGCGAACAGGAUUAGAUACCCUGGUAGUCCACGCCGUAAACGGUGGAUGCUGGAUGUGGGGCCCGUUCCACGGGUUCCGUGUCGGAGCUAACGCGUUAAGCAUCCCGCCUGGGGAGUACGGCCGCAAGGCUAAAACUCAAAGAAAUUGACGGGGGCCCGCACAAGCGGCGGAGCAUGCGGAUUAAUUCGAUGCAACGCGAAGAACCUUA